AUGGGACUGCGGCCUAUCAGCUUGUUGGUGAGGUAAUGGCCCACCAAGGCGAUUACAGGUACGGGCUCUGAGAGGAGAAGCCCGGAGAUGGGUACUGAGACAAGGACCCAGGCCCUAUGGGGCGCAGCAGGCGAGAAAACUUUGCAAUGUGCGAAAGCACGACAAGGUUAAUCCGAGUGAUUUCUGCUAAAGGAAUCUUUUGUUAGUUCUAAAUAUACUAGUGAAUAAGGGGUGGGCAAGUUCUGGUGUCAGCCGCCGCGGUAAAACCAGCACCUCAAGUGGUCAGGAGGAUUAUUGGGCCUAAAGCAUCCGUAGCCUGUUCUAUAAGUUUGCGGUUAAAUCUAUGCGCUCAACGUAUAGGCUGCCGUAAAUACUGUAGAACUAGGGAGUGGGAGAGGUAGACGGUACUCGAUAGGAAGGGGUAAAAUCCUUUGAUCUAUUGAUGACCACCUGUGGCGAAGGCGGUCUACCAGAACACGUUCGACGGUGAGGGAUGAAAGCUGGGGGAGCAAACCGGAUUAGAUACCCGGGUAGUCCCAGCUGUAAACGAUGCAGACUCGAUGAUGCAAUGGCAUAGAGCUAUUGCAGUAUCGCAGGGAAGCCGUUAAGUCUGCCGCCUGGGAAGUACGUACGCAAGUAUGAAACUUAAAGGAAUUGGCGGGGGAGCACCACAAGGGGUGAAGCCUGCGGUUCAAUUGGAGUCAACGCCGGG
rnacentral:rRNA from 2 species